rnacentral:rRNA from 1 species
CCUACGGGUGGCAGCAGUGAGGAAUAUUGGUCAAUGGGCGAAAGCCUGAACCAGCCAAGUCGCGUGAGGGAAGACGGUCCUAUGGAUUGUAAACCUCUUUUGCCGGGGAGCAAAAAGCGGUACGUAUACCGCAUCGAGAGUCCCCGUAGAAAAAGCAUCGGCUAACUCCGUGCCAGCAGCCGCGGUAAUACGGAGGAUCCGAGCGUUAUCCGGUUUUAUGGGGUUUAAGGGGUGGGCAGGCGGCGGGUUAAGUCAGCGGUAAAAUUUCGGGGCUCAAACCCGAAGAGCCGUUGAAACUGGCGUGCUAGAGUGCGCGAGAAGUAUGCGGAAUGCGUGGUGUAGCGGUGAAAUGCAUAGAUAUCACGAAGAACUCCGAUUGCGAAGGCAGCAUACCGGCGCCCAACUGACGCUCAGGCACGAAAGCGUGGGUAUCGAACAGGAUUAGAUACCCUUGUAGUC